CUGACGUCGAGGUUCGGAUAAAAUUUCUCGUGUUUCUCUCCAAAUCAGUAACGAUCCUCGCUGUAACACGUUCCCGUAAACUGCUCGUGAGACCGAGACUCGAAAGACCGAGAUACCCGAAGUAAUUAACUGUUCUGCAACGAAGAUAAGCAUGAAUUUUCAACACCAGCACUUACCAGCACAGUACCAGCACUUUUUCUACUGUAACCAGUCAAAUAAUUGUAAAUACGAAAUAAAUGUAAAUAAGAUGGACGAUAAAUUUUCUUUAGUGGAAACAGAAACGAAAGGAAAGAUAAAAAUCGGAAAACUGAUCAAUCGAACAAAAUAGAUAUAUUGAUAUCAAGUGAAAUGGACGAAAGAGGACGCGGAAUUUUAAAUCCGGUCAUUUGACCAGUU